rnacentral:tRNA from 1 species
GGGGGGGUGGGUUCAGUGGUAAAGUGUUUGCUUAGCAUGCAAACAGUCCCCAGGUCCAGUCCCCAGCCUUUCCA